rnacentral:rRNA from 1 species
UGCAUGGUUGUCGUCAGCUCGUGUCGUGAGAUGUUGGGUUAAGUCCCGCAACGAGCGCAACCCUUAAGCUUAGUUGCCAGCAUUAAGUUGGGCACUCUAAGUUGACUGCCGGUGACAAACCGGAGGAAGGUGGGGAUGACGUCAAAUCAUCAUGCCCCUUAUGAUUUGGGCUACACACGUGCUACAAUGGACAAUACAAGGGGCAGCUAAACCGUGAGGUCAUGCAAAUCCCAUAAAGUUGUUCUCAGUUCGGAUUGUAGUCUGCAACUCGACUACAUGAAGCUGGAAUCGCUAGUAAUCGUAGAUCAGCAUGCUACGGUGAAUACGUUCCCGGGUCUUGUACACACCGCCCGUCACACCACGAGAGUCUGUAACACCCGAAGCCGGUGGAGUAACCAUUUAUGGAGCUAGCCGUCGAAGGUGGGACAAAUGAUUGGGGUGAAGUCGUAACAAGGUAGCCGUAUCGGAAGGUGCGGCUGGAUCACCUC